CUUUCCUUGAUGACGACUGGCGCACGGGUGAGUAACGCGUAUCCAACCUUCCCAUAACUACGGGAUAACCCGUUGAAAGACGGCCUAAUACCGUAUGAUAUCGUUUGCUGACAUCAAAUAACGAUUAAAGGUUUAGCGGUUAUGGAUGGGGAUGCGUCUGAUUAGCUUGUUGGCGGGGUAACGGCCCACCAAGGCUACGAUCAGUAGGGGUUCUGAGAGGAAGGUCCCCCACAUUGGAACUGAGACACGGUCCAAACUCCUACGGGAGGCAGCAGGG
rnacentral:rRNA from 1 species